GGGUGAUUAGCUCAGCUGGGAGAGCACCUCCCUUACAAGGAGGGGGUCGGCGGUUCGAUCCC
rnacentral:tRNA from 4 species